rnacentral:lncRNA from 1 species
ACUACCACUUCUACUCUUCCACCACUCAUUAAUGCUCUCGAAAUUUAUAAAGAGAUAUAGUUUGCUUGAAAAUUAGAAUGUAUAUGAUCAUGAACAGUCCGUUGUGUGUGGUGUGAAGUGAAAUAAAGGAAUUUUUCAUCGAACGCUGAGAUGGAGAAUUUUGGGGCUGUACAUGUUCUCAUUGUACCUUUGUUUUAUCACUUUCUCAUUAUCUACACACUGAAUUGAAAUGAGUUUAAGUUUAAUCCUAA